rnacentral:rRNA from 1 species
AGUGAACGCUGGCGGUAGGCCUAACACAUGCAAGUCGAACGGCAGCACAGUAAGAGCUUGCUCUUACGGGUGGCGAGUGGCGGACGGGUGAGGAAUACAUCGGAAUCUACUUUUUCGUGGGGGAUAACGUAGGGAAACUUACGCUAAUACCGCAUACGACCUACGGGUGAAAGCAGGGGAUCUUCGGACCUUGCGCGAUUGAAUGAGCCGAUGUCGGAUUAGCUAGUUGGCGGGGUAAAGGCCCACCAAGGCGACGAUCCGUAGCUGGUCUGAGAGGAUGAUCAGCCACACUGGAACUGAGACACGGUCCAGACUCCUACGGAAGGCAGCAGUGGGGAAUAUUGGACAAUGGGCGCAAGCCUGAUCCAGCCAUACCGCGUGGGUGAAGAAGGCCUUCGGGUUGUAAAGCCCUUUUGUUGGGAAAGAAAAGCAGCAGGUUAAUACCCCGCUGUUCUGACGGUACCCAAAGAAUAAGCACCGGCUAACUUCAUG